CUAGGAUUCAUAUUGAUAAACUUACCCCUGCAUAAGAAUGUCUCUUGGAAGACCCACGCCAAGCACCACCCACCACAGGACAGAACAAACUUAUUAUUACAUUGGAGAUGUCCAUGAGUUUAAGAGGUUUCACCAUUUCAACUCCCGCAUUGAACCUUCAGAAAAUAAGAUAACAAAUUAGCCUGCUGUCUGUCCAUACAAUAUAGAGAGCAGAUACUCCUUCACUGGGUGGAUGAUCAGGAGGACAGAGACCUGGCCUUCCCAGAACAGAGUGACACUGACAAGAGUGCUGUGAAACUAGAAAUCAAUUACAAGAAAAAAACCUGGGAGGAAUCAGAACACCUGGAGGCUAAACAGCAUGCUACUAAACAACUAAUGGGUCAAGGAAGAGAUCAAAAGAGAAAAUGAAAAAAAAAAAAAAAAAACAACAAAAAACAAAAAACCAAAACUUGGAGACAAAUGAAAAGGGAGGCACAGUGUUCCAAAAUCUUUGGGAUGCAGCAAAAGUAGUUCUAAGUGGAAGUUUUAUAACAAUACAAACCUACCACAAGAAAUAAAAAUCUUUUUUUUUUUAAAGAUUUUAUUCAUUUAUUCGACAGAGAGAGACACAGCAAGAGAGGGGACACAAGCAGAGGGAGUGGGAGAAGGAGAAGCAGGCUUCCCGCUGAGCUGGGAGCCCGAUGUGGGAUUCGAUCCCAGGACCCCGGGACCAUGACCUGAGCUGAAGGCAGACGCUUAACGACUGAGCCACCCAGGCACCCUAAGAAACAAAAAUCUUAAUCUAAACUUAGACCUAAAGAAACUAGAAGACAAGAAACAAAGCCUGAAGUUAGUAGAAGGAAGGAAAUGAUUACAGCAAAAAUAAAUAGGGAAAAAAAAAAAUCAAAGAAACCAA